rnacentral:rRNA from 1 species
AGUGAACGCUGGCGGUAGGCCUAACACAUGCAAGUCGAACGGCAGCACAGUAAGAGCUUGCUCUUACGGGUGGCGAGUGGCGGACGGGUGAGGAAUACAUCGGAAUCUACUUUUUCGUGGGGGAUAACGUAGGGAAACUUACGCUAAUACCGCAUACGACCUACGGGUGAAAGCAGGGGAUCUUCGGACCUUGCGCGAUUGAAUGAGCCGAUGCCGGAUUAGCUAGUUGGCGGGGUAAAGGCCCACCAAGGCGACGAUCCGUAGCUGGUCUGAGAGGAUGAUCAGCGACACUGGAACUGAGACACGGUCCAGACUCCUACGGGAGGCAGCAGUGGGGAAUAUUGGACAAUGGGCGCAAGCCUGAUCCAGCCAUACCGCGUGGGUGGAGAAGGCCUUCGGGUUGUAAAGCCCUUUUGUUGGGAAAGAAAAGCAGCAGGUUAAUACCCCGCUGUUCUGACGGUACCCAAAGAAUAAGCACCGGCUAACUUCGUG